rnacentral:rRNA from 1 species
CAGAUGAACGCUGGCGGCAGGCCUAACACAUGCAAGUCGAACGGUAACAGGAAGAAGCUUGCUUCUUGCUGACGAGUGGCGGACGGGUGAGUAAUGUCUGGGAAACUGCCUGAUGGAGGGGGAUAACUACUGGAAACGGUAGCUAAUACCGCAUAACGUCGCAAGACCAAAGAGGGGGACCUUCGGGCCUCUUGCCAUCGGAUGUGCCCAGAUGGGAUUAGCUAGUAGGUGGGGUAACGGCUCACCUAGGCGACGAUCCCUAGGCUGGUCUGAGAGGAUGACCAGCCACACUGGAACUGAGACACGGUCCAGACUCCUACGGGAGGCAGCAGUGGGGAAUAUUGCACAAUGGGCGCAAGCCUGAUGCAGCCAUGCCGCCGUGUAUGAAGAAGGCCUUCGGGUUGUAAAGUACUUUCAGCGGGGAGGAAGGGAGUAAAGUUAAUACCUUUGCUCAUUGACGUUACCCGCAGAAGAAGCACCGGCUAACUCCGUGCCAGCCGCCGC